GGGUCAGUAGGUUGGUCGUGCCACCGGUACGUACUGGUCUCACCGAUUCCUCCUUCCUGAAGAACCGUAAUGCCAUUAAUUUGGUGUUGCGGGGAAACAGGACUGUUACUUUGAAAAAAUUAGAGUGUUUAAAGCAAGCUAACGCUUGAAUACGUUAGCAUGGAAUAAUGAAAUAGGACGAUCGAUCCUAUUUUGUUGGUUUCUAGGAUUGACGUA
rnacentral:rRNA from 1 species